rnacentral:tRNA from 6 species
GCCGAAGUGGUGGAAUGGUAGACACGCUAGGUUCAGGGUCUAGUGAUCGCAAGGUCGUGCGGGUUCGAGUCCCGCCUUCGGCACCA